ensembl:lncRNA
CCUCAAUACAGCAGGUAUAGAUCUACCAGCGCUGAGUCCCUCAAUACAGCAGGUGUAGAUCUACCAGCACUGAGUCCCUCAAUACAGCAGGUGUAGAUCUACCAGCACUGAGUCCCUCAAUACAGCAGGUAUAGAUCUACCAGCGCUGAGUCCCUCAAUACAGCAGGUAUAGAUCUACCAGCGCUGAGUCCCUCAAUACAGCAGGUAUAGAUCUACCAGCGCUGAGUCCCUCAAUACAGCAGGUAUAGAUCUACCAGCGCUGAGUCCCUCAAUACAGCAGGUAUAGAUCUACCAGAGCUGAGUCCCUCAAUACAGC